UCUCAACGAAAGGCUAUUUCCAGUCUCUGUUCUCCAGAUUCACCCCAUCCAUCAACGGCAUCAAGAAAACUGGUCCCUUCCUCUAAGCUUCCAAGCGAGUUUAAAGCUCUGAACGUUCCAAAGCUGAUAUCAUGUAAUGAACGCAAGAGAGAAGUAAGCCUUCACCUUUGAUAAGGCAGGUGUUUGGGCCAAAAUCACAACUGAGAUCAAUCUAUGAUCAAGCCAUUGCACCGAUUGUUAAUGAAGUUCUAGAGGGUUUCAACAGUCUUCGCCUGCUGAGGCUGGUGUUAUUCCAUGAGUAGUUAGCCACAUUUUUUAUACAAUAGAGCCCAAAAUGCUGACUACAGGAUAAAAGUGACAUUUUUGGAACUUGACAACGAAGAAACAACGGAUUAACUAGCUCCAGAAGACACCUUGAGAUCUACAAACGAUAGGCAAAAGAAACCCAUCUUUGAUGGACAGAUUUGAGCGGUUUUAAGAGGUUGAAGAAGAAGCUGUGUACUGUACAGUGCAAAUGCAAAACGAGGCGAGGCUAAGGAUGAAGUAGAUAUAUUUUAAUCUUAAUAUAAUUAUACAAAAGUUUUUAAAUAACUAAUCUGCGAUGCACGGAAAUGGUGAGGACCAACAUUUUCUCGUUCCGAAAACAUUUUCGUGUUGAAAACGGUGAGACACGACGUGGAGGCAUUUUAGACCAAUUUCCUGAAUUUUAAAAAGUAAAAAAUGCGUUUCCCAUGUCAGAAAUGCGUUUCUUAAAAAGAUAGGAAAAUGAAAAAGCAACAGAACAGAGAGAGGUGAGAGCGCUGCAUCGAAGAAGACUUAACUGGUAGCGGCAG